UGCCAGCCGCCGCGGUAAUACGGAGGGUGCAAGCGUUAAUCGGAAUUACUGGGCGUAAAGCGCGCGUAGGCGGUUUGAUAAGUUGGAUGUGAAAGCCCAGGGCUCAACCUUGGAACUGCAUUCAAAACUGUCAGGCUAGAGUACGGUAGAGGGGGGUAGAAUUCCACGUGUAGCGGUGAAAUGCGUAGAGAUGUGGAGGAAUACCAGUGGCGAAGGCGGCCCCCUGGAUCGAUACUGACGCUGAGGUGCGAAAGCGUGGGGAGCAAACAGGAUUAGAUA
rnacentral:rRNA from 1 species